rnacentral:lncRNA from 1 species
UUUUUUGCUCCUCCUGCUGUCAUUCCUAGCUGAAUGACAUUUGGAUGGUAUGUUCUAGUGACGGCUGGAGACCAGCCCUUUAACUUUGGACAUCUUCUUUGUGGGCUGCCUUUGUUCUGUGUGUGGAGGGCACUCUCGCUCUACCAGUUGCUGCUCCAUCUCCUGUGCCGACGACGAGGCUGUAGCUUUUAACGUUUUCUUUAUGUUUGUGACCUCCAUCUCUACCUGCUGCUGGGUUCGGUGAUGGUUCUCUUUGUAUUGGUUGGCUCUCAGUACUUGCUGCUCAAUCCCUAAAAGAACCGCUUCACAACCGUCACACCAUUCCUGGAGUGUUUUGACAAUGUUACUGAUGUCCUUCUUCUGAAUAUCUCUGCCAAUACAAAAAUCCACCUCUAGCAUCUGGUUUCGUUGAUCCAACUUCCCCUGGAUAAUAUCUGUAUAAACCGCUUCUAUAAUCAGAUCUUCCAGCUCCCUCAGAUUCCUCAUAUCCAG